AUUGAACGCUGGCGGCAUGCUUUACACAUGCAAGUCGGACGGCAGCGGGGUAGUGCUUGCACUACUGCCGGCGAGUGGCGAACGGGUGAGUAAUAUAUUGGAACGUACCGAGUAAUGGGGGAUAACCAAUCGAAAGAUUGGCUAAUACCGCAUACGCUCUGAGGAGGAAAGCAGGGGACCUUCGGGCCUUGCGUUAUUCGAGCGGCCAAUAUCUGAUUAGCUAGUUGGUGGGGUAAGGGCCUACCAAGGCGACGAUCAGUAGCGGGUCUGAGAGGAUGAUCCGCCACACGGGGACUGAGACACGGCCCAGACCCCUAGGGGAGGCAGGGGGGGGGAAUUUUGGAAAAGGGGCGGAAGCCUGAUCCCGCCAUGCCGGGUGUCUGAAGAAGGCCUUGGGGUUGUAAAGGAUUUUUGUUAGGAAAAAAAAAGGGGCGGUUAAUACCCGUUUCUGCGGACGGUCCCUAAAAAAAAAGCACCGGCUAACUACGU
rnacentral:rRNA from 1 species